ACGAACCGUGCGAACGUUGUUCGGAAUCACUGGGCUUAAAGGGCGCGUAGGCGGCUUCUCAAGUCGGGGGUGAAAUCUUUCGGCUUAACCGGAAAAGUGCCUCCGAUACUGGGAAGCUCGAGGGAGGUAGGGGCAGACGGAACUUCCGGUGGAGCGGUGAAAUGCGUUGAUAUCGGAAGGAACGCCGGUGGCGAAAGCGGUCUGCUGGCCCUCUUCUGACGCUGAGGCGCGAAAGCCAGGGGAGCAAACGGGAUUAGAUACCCCGGUAGUCCUGGCCCUAAACGAUGGGUACUAGGCUGUGGGCUUGACAUGGGCUCACAGCCGAAGCGAAAGUGUUAAGUACCCCGCCUGGGGAGUAUGGUCGCAAGGCUG
rnacentral:rRNA from 1 species